GAUGAACGCUGGCGGCGUGCCUAAUACAUGCAAGUCGAGCGAACGGACGAGAAGCUUGCUUUUCUGAUGUUAGCGGCGGACGGGUGAGUAACACGUGGAUAACCUACCUAUAAGACUGGGAUAACUUCGGGAAACCGGAGCUAAUACCGGAUAAUAUUUUGAACCGCAUGGUUCAAAAGUGAAAGACGGUCUUGCUGUCACUUAUAGAUGGAUCCGCGCUGCAUUAGCUAGUUGGUAAGGUAACGGCUUACCAAGGCAACGAUGCAUAGCCGACCUGAGAGUGGGAUGGGCCAAACGGAAACGGGAACACGGCCCAAACCCGCAGGGGAGGCAGCAUGGGGGAAUUUCCCGCAAGGGGGGAAAGCUGGAGGGGGAAACCCCGGGGGGGGAAUGAGGGUCUUGGGAUCGAAAACCCUUUUUAUGAGGAAAAAAAAUAUGGUUAAGUAACUGGGAACAUUUUGAGGGUACCAAAAAAAAAAGCCCGGGCAAACUAGGU
rnacentral:rRNA from 1 species